GGGACUCCUCAGCCCUAUAAAGGGGCUCUUACUGACACCACAGCCAUCUACUGACCACUUGAUUUCUCAUCUGUGCUGGAGCAUCUGAUACACGGAGAUCCAGGAAAGAUGUCCUACCAGAAUCAGCAGCAGUGCAAACAGCCUUGCCAGCUACCUCCCAAUUGGCUACAGCCUUGCCAGCCCAAGUGUCCAAAGCCAUGCCUUCUGAGGUGCCCUGAACCAUGCCCUCCUAGGUGCUUAGAGCCAUGCCUCCCUUGGUGCUCAGAACCAUGCCCUCCUCAAUGCCCAGAGCCAUGCCCUCCUCAAUGCCCAGAGCCAGGCCCUCUUCAAUGCCCAGAGCCAGGCCCUCCUCAGUGCUCAGAGCCAUGUCCUCCUAGGUGCCCUGAACCAUGCCCUCCUAGGUGCCUAGAGCCAUGCCCUGCUAGGUACCCUGAACCAUACUCUCCCAGGUGCCCUGAGCUAUGCCCUCCUAGGUGUCCUGAGCCAUGCUCAUCACAGCAGUGCCAACAGAAAUAUCCCUCAUGCCCUUCCCUCUGCCAGCAGCAAUGCCCAGGCAAGAGGAAGUAGCAGUGCUAGAUGCUAGCAGAACCAUGAAACUAGGAGCUUGAGCAUCCCUAUGGAGGCUUGGGCUCCUUACCCUCUCUCUGCUUCUCCAUACCUCUCUACCCUUCAUUUGCCCUGGAUGGGAUGAAAUCCCUGGGAGAAACACCUUUGUUCCUGGAGCUGCAGUCCUUUCAGAUACAAGAUCUCCAACCAUCUCCCAUCUCCCACAUCCAUUUCCACACCUCCUGGAUGAAAGACAGCAGAGAAAGCACUAAGCACUCCAUGGCAGGCUUCCUGGCACCUCAAUGGAAGAACACCCCUGCGAAGCCAGACUCCUCCUCGAGCUUUCCUCUGUGCAUCACUGAGUGGUGAUUUCCAUCCCUCAGGAUAUAACUCUCCUUCUACCACUUUCCACCAAUCCAAAUAAAGCCUCUGUUUCAUGCUGAGACCCGAA